AUUGCUCCAGAAGUCGCUGAGCCAACCGCAAGGAGGCAGGCGCCCAAGGAGUGGUUCGUGACUGGGGUGAAGUCGUAACAAGGUAGCCGUAGGUGAACCUGCAGAAGGAUCA
rnacentral:rRNA from 1 species